AACGAACGCUGGCGGCAUGCCUAACACAUGCAAGUCGAACGAAGGCUUCGGCCUUAGUGGCGCACGGGUGCGUAACGCGUGGGAAUCUGCCCUUGGGUUCGGAAUAACUCAGAGAAAUUUGAGCUAAUACCGGAUGAUGACGUAAGUCCAAAGAUUUAUCGCCCAAGGAUGAGCCCGCGUAAGAUUAGCUAGUUGGUGGGGUAAAGGCCUACCAAGGCGACGAUCUGUAGCGGGUCUGAGAGGAUGAUCCGCCACACUGGGACUGAGACACGGCCCAGGCUCCUACGGGAGGCAGCAGUGGGGAAUUUUGGACAAUGGGGGCAACCCUGAUCCAGCCAUUCCGCGUGAGUGAAGAAGGCCUCGGUUGUAAGACUCUUUCGGUCGAGGAACGAAACGGACGGGACGUCGUAACC
rnacentral:rRNA from 1 species